rnacentral:lncRNA from 1 species
AAGCAGAAAAGGGGUUACCUUUUGAGAUCGGGGGAAAGAACCUACCUUCGGUUUCGGUCAUCGGAGACCCUUUCUCCGGCAUGGAUUCGGACCGAGGGGUGCAUCUUGUUUCCUUUGUUCCCGAGUCUUGAACCGUGAUGGGGAAGAGGUGCAUUUGGAACUGAUGAAUCUCUGGAGUCGGCCAAGCAGAGAAGUGUGGAAGAGCUUUCAUUUUU